UCGGAUAUGGUGUAAUGGCUAACAUUGCCGCCUCUCAUGUGGCGCAUCUUGUGGUGAUAGUUUCACGCGGCAGCUCGGGGUUCAAUUCCCCGUAUCCGAA